rnacentral:rRNA from 1 species
GUUGCUCAAUAAAAGAAUAUAAGUUCAACCUUAAACCUUCUACAAAACACCACAAAGUAAAAAGAAAAGUUUAAGACAUAUUCAAUCGGGGUACAGCCCGAUUGAAGAAGGACACAACCUAACAUGGAGGAUAAAACACCAAAACACAUUACCGUAGGCCUUAAAGCAGCCAUCACCAAAGAAAGCGUCAAAGCUCCACUAGCCACAAAUAACAACAUAAUUUUUUUCCCCAAACAACACUGAGCUAUUCUACCCUAAUAGAAGAACUAAUGCUAAAAUGAGUAACAAGAAGAACAAAACUUCUCUAACGCGCUAGCUUAAAUCAUAAUAGACAAACUACUGAUUAUUAACAACCACAUUAUAAAACCAAUAACACUUAAAACAUCCUAUAAACCAAACUGUUAACCCAACACAGGAGCGCAUAUAAGAAAGAUUAAAACUUGUAAAAGGAACUAGGCAAACAAAACGAGCCCGACUGUUUACCAAAAACAUAGCCCCUAGCAAAAUACAAGUAUUAGGGGUAAUGCCUGCCCAGUGACACUGUUAAACGGCCGCGGUAUCCUC